rnacentral:rRNA from 1 species
CCUACGGGGGGCAGCAGUGGGGAAUAUUGGACAAUGGGCGAAAGCCUGAUCCAGCCAUGCCGCGUGUGUGAAGAAGGCCUUCGGGUUGUAAAGCACUUUCAGUGGGGAAGAAAGCCUUGGGGCUAAUACCCUCGAGGAAGGACAUCACCCACAGAAGAAGCACCGGCUAACUCCGUGCCAGCAGCCGCGGUAAUACGGAGGGUGCGAGCGUUAAUCGGAAUUACUGGGUGUAAAGCGCGCGUAGGCGGUCUGAUAAGCCGGUUGUGAAAGCCCCGGGCUCAACCUGGGAACGGCAUCCGGAACUGUCAGGCUAGAGUGCAGGAGAGGAAGGUAGAAUUCCCGGUGUAGCGGUGAAAUGCGUAGAGAUCGGGAGGAAUACCAGUGGCGAAGGCGGCCUUCUGGACUGACACUGACGCUGAGGUGCGAAAGCGUGGGUAGCAAACAGGAUUAGAUACCCCGGUAGUC